rnacentral:rRNA from 1 species
GGAACAACAGCUGGAAACGGCUGCUAAUACCCCAUAGGCUGAGGAGCAAAAGGGGGAAUCCGCCCAAGGAGGGGCUCGCGUCUGAUUAGUUAGUUGGUGAGGCAAUGGCUUACCAAGGUGACGAUCAGUAGCUGGUCCGAGAGGAUGAUCAGCCACACUGGGACUGAGACACGGCCCAGACUCCUACGGGAGGCAGCAGUGGGGAAUUUUCCGCAAUGGGCGAAAGCCUGACGGAGCAAUGCCGCGUGAAGGCAGAAGGCCCACGGGUCAUGAACUUCUUUUCUCGGAGA